rnacentral:lncRNA from 1 species
UUGUUUUAGGUGAUGAAUCUGUGCUAGAUUGUUGUGGGUCAGUUUGUCGUUCGCAGUGUCUUCUUCAAAAUAUGCCUUUUUUUUAUGAAGUUGUGGGUGCAGUUAACUGAUCUGUAGUUCUGUACUAUGAGUAUCCGAUCUGUGAUUUAAAUCACGCAUGUAGCUGAUAUGUACUAUGAGUGUCAUUCUGUAUGCUUAUGAGUAUCACUCCAUAAACUAUACACUUCUUGCCCCUCUUAGGUGAGACAGCAAAAUAGAUCUAUACUACUAUGAGCAAUUGAGCAUCAUCCUAUAUACAUCCAUAUCUCACCAAAAGAAAUUUAUACCAUGACCAUCGUUCUACAUACAUAGAGCAUCUCUACCAGUCCCCUAAACCGCAUAUUUUCAUAAAACAUAUCAUAUAUAUUUAAGAGAGUCAUUCCCACUAACUUAUUUAUCUCAACAUGCAAGUAUAUCACAUCUCCGUACAACUAUGGAUGGGAUAAGACCCACCUCAACAUGUAACCGAGCAUUGAAAAAGAAUCACCACCACAUGCAACCAUGCAUGAGAAAAUAUUUUUCAAUCUAUUAUUCUACUUAUAUUCAAUAAUAUUUUACAACUAUGUACAUAAUCAAAUAUAAUAAGCCGAAUGUAUUUUAAAUUUUGGUUCAUGUGUUAUUAAUCUAAAUAUUUAUAUUUCACACAACAAAAUCUCAUUGAAAUAUAUUACAAGUGAUUCUCGAAGCAAUGCGUGGGGUUAGUUUGAGCGAUCACUCAAACCGUAUUUCACAAAAUUAUAAGGAAACCUUCCCUAAAACGCAGUCGUUCCACCUACUUUGAGUCCAACCACAAAAAGUCGCAGCCUCGCCCGGGAAGAGCGCCUAAACUCGCCCGGGAAGAGCGCCAAAACAUCAUGGAUGUCGUCCAGGGUGAGCUCCAUCUUGCGGUGCGUGGCUUGAGGCUCAGGUGCAUGUCUUGCCGAUCUCAUGUGUGGCCACCGACUCGAGGUCCAUGACGCCGUUGAGGUCGUGGAGGACGGCCCAUCACUCAGAGGAUGGCUCGAGGUCGCUUGUGCAAACUGAAAUUUGGCCGACCAAGAUGCCCUAUCUUGUGGGCGUGUUCUAACGGUUUUCAGCCGGAUUUCCGCGAAUAACGGGGCAACUCUCUUCUAUGGUUUUCAGCCGGAUUUCCGCAUUUUUUUUAUGUUGCUACUGACUGUUGAGAGGUAAAUGUUGCACAGAAUUUUGCUGCUACUAGUGAAUGUUGUGUUGAAUUUAACAUAGUUGUAAUUUUCAAAUCAGCUUAUGUAAAAACACAGCCUGCACACGUCAUCGAGGCGUCAGUGCAUCACCAACUUGGCCUUCCUCACUGACGCAACCAGGAGGCCGCCAAUCUGUGCCGGUGAGCCCAUGGAUUCGCCUCCCUCUGCUAGUUGCUUCGACGACCGAUGACGGGGAAGGGAAUCAUGGUGUUUUGGCUCUGGCUAGUUGAUAGGUUAGAGUUUUAGUCCUUACAAAGGCGAUGCCCAGAUGGAUGGCUGCACUUCAUCUUUGAGUUGAUCUUUCUGGUUUCGAGCCUUAUUGGGUUCGACCGUCAAGGCGGAUUAGACGAUGCUCCGACUUAGGUUCCUACCGACUCCAGAGAGCGGCGAGGUUAUGAUUUCUGGUCAUGCACACGCGACGACGAGAUUGAGUAAAUAGCAUAAAACUACUACUUUACAGACCCAAACGAGGGGUCGGCUGUUUCAAAAACUACCGGUUUUUAAUUUUUCUCAGAUAACUACCAAACGAGGGGUCGGCUGUUUUAAAAAACCCAAAACGCUGAGUGCUUAUCAGUUGAUCGUGAUUAUGACAGGUGGGACCCGCACCUAAACGAAGCUCUAGUUUGACCGUUAACUGACAUGUGGGGCCCACAUGUCAGCUUCUCUUUUCUUCUUCUCUUUCCUUCUCUCCUCUUCCUCCCGUACUCUCUCUCUGUCUUAUCUUCAACCAGACCGGCGACCAUAUCCCCUUCCCUCGCAUGCCCACUCCGCCGGCGACCCUUUCCCCUCCCCUGUCACGCCCACCCCGCCGGCGACCCGCUCACUCCCCUCGUGCGCCCACCUCGUGCGACCCGCUCCCUCCCCUCAGGUCGCCACACCGCCGCGCGCCAUGGGGAGCUGCCUGGGGCGCGCCAGCCAUGGGUCUCCGCUCAGGUCCCGUGCUGCCGCCCGCCAUGGGGAGCACCUGGGGGUUGCCGCAGGCGAGGCAGAGCAUGGCGGCGACCACAGGCGAGGGGCGGCGUGGCGGCGGCCACAGGCGAGGGGCGGCGUGGCGGCGGCUACAGGCAAGGGGCGGCGUGGAUCCGGUCACUACGGGCGUGGCUCGCCGGCUGCAGGCGAUGCACGGCGUCGGCCCGGAGGAGGUGGCAUCGAGGCCAUGGCGGGUGCGCCAGAGGACCUGAUUGCUUUUUUUUGAAAACUUUCAGGGACCUGAUUGCUUUUUUAGAAAAUUUCCAUGGACCCGAUUGCUUUUUCAGACACUGGCAUGUGGCCCCCACAUGUAAGUUAACGGUCAAACAAACGGUGCGUUUAGUGGCGGGCCCGACCUGUCAUAAACAUGUUUAAUUUUUUAACAAAGAGGAUUUGGGGUUUUUUGAAACAGCCAACCCCUGACUUGGUAGUUAUCAGCGAAAAAAAUAAAUUCAGUAGUUUUUUGGAACCAUAGCCUGUAAAGUAGUAGUUUUAUGCUAUUUACUCGACGAGAUUUAAUGUUAGGUUCUACAAGUUGAUUCAAGAGUUCAAUGACGCCGACUGCAGCUCCAGAACACUAGUCUUUAGGCGCACGUGCACGAAGACUUCUCCACUGUCUUCCACGUCACCGCGAAGACGUGAAGCCGCAUAUGACGAACCGUGGGCUUCAAGAUGGCGUCUUCAAGAAGGGGACGACACCGGAGCGCCGCCACUCUCGAGCUGUUGAACAGAUGCAAUGUUUUCCUUAUGUGUUUUUCUUUUUCCUUUUGCGCCGAAUCUAGCACCGACUCCUACCGUAUCGUGCGCAAUAGCCUGAAGAAAGAAAGGGCCACGUGGACUUCCCUCUUGGCAUUCUGACGUCGCAGCAGAUUGCAUACUUAUCAAUUUCCUUAUUAAAUACAUCUAUCCAUCUGCUAGGAGUCUUUGACUUCCAAAGUCAUAAAUACUGCAUAUCUGUGCAGUAACAUGAUCCAAAAACUUUCAAAAUUUUCAAAAACAAAUGAAAAAAUCAUGAAACUUGUAAACCAUGUUAUUUUAUAAAAUUGUUGAUUUUUUAAAAAAAUGAUCAACAAAUAUUAAAAAAAAUCACAUUUUUUUUUGAAAAAUGGUCACAAAACAUUUUUUAAAAAGUUCACGUUUUAUACUAUCUCCAUUCCAAAAUAUAUGAAUUUAGCCUACCAAAAUGUCAUUCUAAAGCUAGUAUAUUUUGGGACCGGGGAAUAUAUUUUAGAACGGAGGUAGUACUCCUUGAUUACCAAAAGAUGCCCCACAGUUUGGUAAUUUACUACUCUCGAGCUGUUGAACAGUGCAAUCUUUUUGUUAUGUGUGUUUUUCUUUUUGCGCCGAAUCUAGCACGGACUCCUACCGUAUCGUGCGCAAUAGCCUGAAGAAAGAAAGGGUCACGUGGACUUCCCUCUUCUUGCAUUCUGACGUCGCAGCAGAUUGCAUACUUAUCAAUUUUCUUAUUAAAUACACCUAUCCAUCUGGUACGUUUACAAGCUUCUAUCUACUAGUACAAGUCUUUGACUUCCAAAGCCAGCCUAUAAAUACUGCAUAUCCUCUCUGACAUAAAAGUUCUUGCUCCAUAGCAAACCAAGUGGAGAAAGGAAAGGAAGCAUACUCGAAACUUCGCCCAACACCACCCACCGAUCAUGAGUGCAAGAAAUGCUAUCAUAUGCUUUGUGUUGAUUCUUGUAUUGUUCCCGGAUCAUGGCUCCGCAGGUUUGUGCUCCUCGCUCCGUCUCAGUGACAACCGACUACAGGUUCUUCAUCAUGGAUAUUCAUAUUCAUACAUGCGUGUUAAUUCAUUUCAGGAUGCUGGGUGAAUAUCAAUGGCGGCCCACUCUGCAUAGGCUUUCUGUGCAAGGCGACUUGCUUGAUUGCGGAGAAGAUGUUUAAUUGCGUUCUCAAGGAGCACAGGUGCGAGGGGACACCGCUCAAUAGCGAAUGCAUGUGCUAUCUCUGCGACAAAUAGUCGGUUAACAUGGGAGCUGAAGAUAGCCUCAUGAUUACAAAGUGUCAAACAAUGGGAAUGAAUAAUUUCUAAUAGAAACCAGUAUCCUCAAAUCCGAUGCAGUUUCCUGCAUUCUCAAAUGCCGUGUCAUCAAUAUUCAUGCAUACUCCAAGAUUUCGCUGCAAAACAACAACAGGCAUGUGGAUGGCAUGCCAAUCAUGUGCUAUGUACUUUCAUGGACGAAAAAGCUGCUUUCUUCCUGACCGCACUUGAGCUAGUUUCACGGAGAUCAUAUUUUUCCCUGUCAAGAGUUAUAGGUAGUCGACAACAGAAUUAACAGGAAGUUUGAUGACUGUCCUCUAUCAGAACUUGUCCAGGAAUAGGAUGGGCAUGACUGGUAAGAAAAAUUACGGUACAUGAGGAGGACGGACACCUAGCCGCAGUGUGCGAUUAUCUUUGUUAGAGCAUCUUCAAUAGAUGAUGUAGAUGUAUAAAUACCUACUUUUUACAUCACUUGGAGCAUCCCCAACGGACGCGCCAAAAGACGCGCGCGGCAAGUUUUCACGCGCUCCAGCGGAGGCGGGAAACUACCGCACGCGGGAAGCGAUUGCGCGCGCGCGGAAAAUAGCGGCAGAACGCGCGGUAGAUUUGACGCGCCGCUUCGCGCGCGCCUAUAAAAUGCGGCGCUCGCAACGCGCUCCACCACACUGCCACGCGCCCAUCCCCUCGCCACCUCGCCGCUUCCACCUCUUUCUCGCCGCUUCCAGCGCCCCGCCACCACCGUGCCACCAUGCCGCCGCGCCGCUGGGGAUCUUCAGGCUACCGCGGCGUCCGCACGCGCCCCAACGGCCGGUACUCCGCCGAGAUCCGGUCCGGCGACGUCCGGCUCGGCCUCGGCAUGUUUCGGACCGCGCACGAGGCGGCCCGCGCGUACGACGCGGCGGCGUGGCGCCUAGAGAGGCCUCCGUCCCAGAUGAACUUCCGGGACGUCCACACGCGCGAACAGGCGCAGGCCGUCGCCCCUCCGCCUCGUCUGAUCACGGACCAGGACCGUGCGGACCACAUUCGCCUGCAGCGCCGCCUCCUCGUCGCCGAGGAAGACGAGCGAGCCAUGGCGGAGUGGCGCCGGCGCCACCCGGAGGACGUCGCCAACGAGCGCGCCUACUGGGCGGAGAGGACGGCAAGGCGCCGCACGGAGCGGGCGGACCGGCGUCGGCGGAAGGCUUUGGCGAUAUCGCAGUGCGAUAUCGUUGAAGCAGGUGGGAGGUCGAUCUUCAUGUCAGACGACGAACGUUGGGAGGAUAUAUGGAUCGAUACCUCGGACAGCACCUCCGAGGAUGAGGACUCGGAGUAGUUCUGCAUCGUACUUUUAUCUAGUUGCACCGUAGUUUAAUUUUAUGUAGUUGCACCGUAGUUCGGUUUUAUCUAUCUAUGCUAUGACUUAUUUAUCUAUUAUGCUAUGAACUAUGUAAAAUAUCUUUGUACCAUUUUUUUUAUCUAUGUGAAAUUUAUUUUGUGUCCAAAAUGCAACAAAUAUGGACAUGUGCGGGGCCCAACAAAUAUGGGCUGCUCGCGCGCGCUGCAUUUUAGCGCGCUGCUGAAGCUGCGCGCGCGCUGUAUUUUAGCGCGGUUGCUGGAGCCAGCGCUGUGCACCGCGCCAAACCUGACGAUGGGCACGCCACAAACUACUUUUUAGCGCACCGCGCGUUCCGCAGCUGUUGGAGAUGCUUUUAGAUCUAAUAACACCCCUCCAACAGAUGAUGUAGUUGUAGAUUUUUUUUCUCAGAAUUUACUAUAGAUGUAUUUUGCAUCACUUGGUGAUGCAAAUAUACACCACCAACCGCGCGGUGAUGUAAAAUGGCCACCCACUGCGCGAACUGCCUUUGGACCCUCACCCCCCAACGCCGCCUGCCCACCGUACCCCGCCGCCGGCAGAUCCGGCCUUCCCACCACCGCCGCCGCCGGAUCCGUAGCUUUCCCGCCGCCGCACGUCUCGAAAUCGCCAUAUUUGAAGCCACCGCCACCCGAUUCAGAACUUCUCCGAUGCCGUCGUUGCCCCGCCGCCACCCGAUUUGCAGCUUCUCCGCCCUGCCACCGCCGAUUCGAAGCUUCUCCGCCCCGUCGCCUCCCGAUUCGAAGCUUCUCCGCCCCGCCGCUACCGAUUCAAAUCCGCACCCGCGCCGCCGCCAUGCCGCCGAAGAGGGUCUCGAAGAGCAGGACCGGCUACUUCGGGGUGCGGGAGAAGCCGUCUGGGAACUUCGGUGCCGAGUUCCUGCGUGACGGCUAUCGCUACUGGCUCGACACCUUCAAGUACCUAGAGGUGGCUGCACGUGCGUACGACGUCGCCGCUUGGUGUUUCGGCCGGUCAAGGCACGAGAUGAACUUCCCGGAUAUCGAAACCUGGGAGGAUGUGGAGUUCAUCGGAUCGAAGAAUCUUAAGAUACGACAGACGGACGGGGAGGAGGAGGAGGAGGAGGAGUAGAAGACGGCAAGGAUCACCAUUGUUCCCGGCGAAAGUGACAAAGCAGCGCUGUCGAGGUUUGUGCGGGAGCAUCCGGAGUACUUCCAGGCCAAGCAGGAUUUCCAUUGGAAGCGAGCAGAAGAAGAAUAAGGCGGUGAAGAAGGAGGACAAGGCCGGCCCCUCGACAGUGAUCCCCAUCGAGUCUGACUCGUCAGGCUGGGAUGACUCUGAGGAGGAGUUCGAGACGCUCGAUGACUCCGACGACUCCAUCAAAGAGGAGUUCUGGGAGCGGCUAGAAAACGAUAUUACUAGUUUUAUGUUUUAUGUAGUUCAAGUAGACUCGGAGGAGUAGUAGUUUGGUGUGAUGUAGUAGUUUGAACUAUGUUUUUUGUUUGUUUUAUGAACUAUGUUUGCUUCAAAUGAACUUGAUAUGUUUGAAUUUAUGUUUGAAAUGAUGUAGUAGUUCAACUUGUUUUACAUCAUCUAUGGUACAAUAUGAGGUCGUUUAUCAUAUCGAUGGUACGCCAUCCAGACCCCCAUCACCAAGUUUUGUGACGCGGUUGGUCGGCUGGAGGCAAGGUGGCCAUUGCGCGCGACAGAGGAGGAGAUAGUAAGUUUUGCUUCUUCUUGCUCAACUUGUUGGUCGAAUCAUUCACUAAAUGUUGCUCUACACAUUAGGUAGCCCGCACGCGCUAUUGUGAUGUACCAUAGCACAGAGGGACGGCCAUUUACGCACACACACUGUUGGAUGAAGCUGAAGGAGCAGUAUGUGCGAGACAAUAUGAUCCGUUUAUGAAAAACUUGUUGAACAUCCGGUUAAUCUCUUGAAUUUGAAUUAUUAUUUUACUAGACUUAUUUGCAUGCUAUGUAUGAUUUGUGCUAUUUUCUAUCCGAACUUUGAUGAAAUCCGCCGUGUUUACAUGAAUUUUGGCCGGUUAAUUGAAACAUUGUUUAAAAUGUAAGUGGACAUAUGCAACUAGCAUUGGAUGGCCGGCUCCCGCAUCCGUGUCCGCGGAUGGAUGCCGGAGCAGAUUUGCGGGUCAGCAUUCGAGAUGCACUUAUACUUUUUUUAGCCUAAGAUUUCCCUUUUUUUUUAAUUUUUGAGCGUAAGAUGCCCUUAUACUUCUUCUUCACAGAUGGAAAGUGGGCCUUGAGAGGGUUUCGGACAUUUGGGCCUGUUCCACUUUUCUUUGUCUCAAAAAAAGAAAAAAAUUCCCCCCUUUUCUUUGCCUAAAAAAAAAAGAAAUCCCCCUUUUCUUCCGCCGCUCCACUCCACAGAAAUCGUCCCCACCGCGGCGCUUCCGGCGACGGCCAUGGACACCCGGGUGCCGCCCGUUCCCAUGGAUCCCGCGGCCGCGGCGAAGUCCCGGCGCGACCGCCAUGACCCGGAAGAGAUGGAGGGCCUCUUCUCCCGCAUGCUCUCCCGGACCCGCAACGUCCUCCCAGACCCGCCCGUCUCCGUCGACGGCCGCCUCUUCGCUCUCCUCCCCCACGACUCCGUCGACAGCAUCAGCCGCCUCCCCGACGUGCUCCUCGGCAACAUCGUCUCCCGCCUCCCAGUCAAGGAGGCCGCGCGCACCGCCGUGCUCUCCCGGCGCUGGCGCGGGGUCUGGCGCUCCACCCCGCUCGUCCUCGUCGACUCUCACAUCCUCCCGGAAGACGCAGGCACCGCGGUCGCGCGCGCCGACGCGCGGCGCAUCACCUCCGCCGUCUCCCGCAUCCUCGCCGCGCACCCGGGUCCCUUCCGCUGCGUCCACCUCACCAGCUGCUACAUGGAAGAGUUCAAUGGCCUGCUCAGGCGCUGGCUCCAGAUCCUCGCCGACAAGGGCAUCGAGGAACUCAUCCUCGUCAACCGCCCAAUGCCGCUCGGCUGCCUUCUCCACUCCACGUUCUUUCUCCCCUCCACGUUCUUAGGCAUGACCACCCUCACCUGCCUCUACCUCGGCCUCUGGAAAUUCCCCGACACGGCCAGCGUCAAGCGCGCCACCUUUUUCCCUAACCUCCGUGAGCUCGGGCUCUGCACCGUCCUCAUGGAGAGCAAGGAUUUGGACUUCAUCCUCGACAGGAGCCCCGUGCUUGAGACGCUCUGUGUGGAAAGCAAUAUUUUCAAGCUUGGCCUUCGCCUUGUCAGCCAAAGCAUCCGGUGCGUGAAGAUCAUCCUGUCCUUCUUUGAGGAAAUCGCUGUGGUGGACACCCCAUGCCUGGAGCGACUCAUCCUUUCAGGUGGUUGGACCAAAGACGGGGUCUGCACCAAGGUGAAGAUCGGCCAUGCCCCCAAGUUGCACUCUUUGGGAUAUUUGGAUUCAGAAAAUCAUGUCCUAGAGUUCGGCAACACUGUCAUCAAGGUGCCUCGUCUUCUCCAUUUGUUCUGCUGUACAUCAUACCUAAAUGAUGAAUGCAUAUGUGUGAUCUUUCUUCUCUUGAUUAAGUGCAUUGUGAUUGCAAUUGCAGGCUGGGACAAAGGUGAGCCCAAGCACCAUGGUGCCAAGUGUGAGGAUCCUGGCUUUGGAUGUGCGUUGUGGAGUCCGCAGUUAUGCCAAGAUGAUCCCGACUGUCCUCAGAUGCUUUCCAAAUGUUGAGACGCUCCACAUCAUGGUGAAGCCCCUGGUGCUUCUUUUGGCAUUCAUUUGCACCAUCCUGUACUAUAUGCAUAUUAUUGUCAAUUGCUGCUGCUGCUGUAUGAUCCAUUAGCAGCUGAUGAAUUUCAUGUGCACUAAUUUAAUUAAUUUUACAGUCUGGAGAAACUGGUCAACCCUCUGGCAAGCACAACCUUGAGUUCUGGAAUGAGUCUGGUACCAUAAAAUGCAUCUGCUCGUGCAUCAAGCUGCUGGUUUUCCAUGAUUUCCGAGGGGAUCGAAGUGAGCUUGCUUUCCUCAAGUUUUUCUUUAAGAGUGUGUUGGUGCUGGAGGAGGCGUUGAUAGUGAUGGCAAAUGGAAGUUUCACUUCGAUGGAGGAUAUGCUUUCCAAAGUGAAGCCUCUGGGAUCCAUGAAACGGGCCAGUUCAGACUCCACAAUCACGAUUAAUCCCCAAGGAGGUAGCAUUUGGAACUUCAAGAAAGCAUCCGACUUUUCUCUUUGCGACCCUUUCGCGAACGACUGAAGUCAAAGGUGCCUGUUUAUUUCAUGGUCACUAGCUCUGGAAAUUGUUGUGUUCUGGGUCAUAGCAUGGACAUGCACUGUUUUCAGCUUUUCGAUGAUCCGCCUGACUCUUGUUUCUGCAAACAUGAUUAGCUUAAGUGUUGAAGUUAGUGCUACCGUCUUCAAUGAUGCAAAUGACUUAUCAUUCUGUGGUAAUUGCAGAGCACCUAUUCUACUCAUGUUAAUUGUGAUUUCAUUAGCUAGGUUUGAGCUCCUGAGUAUGGCGUUACAUUGCACAAUUGCUGCCAUACGUAUGAGGCUUGAUGCGGGGGAGAAUUAGUGAUAUCCGAGCUAAUUCAUCUUUUGCUUACUGUCUUGACAAUUUACUCUAGGCAGAAGAUUUUGAUGCUCUCAGAGUGUGCCAUUUUUGGUUCUGAUUGAUUUGCAUAGAUGUGCCAAGUCAAUUAUUAUUGCAGCUCCCGGUUUUCAACGCAAUUUUUUUUAAUUAUUGCAGCUAUUUAUGCCUAUCUGGUUCUUCAGUUGUGUUAUUUGAAUCUUUAUUUGCAAGCUAAUUUGGUUACUUUUGCAACGUGUUAAGGUAAUAAUGGUAACUUGAACAACGUGGGCAUGGCUAAGGCCAGGUGGCCAAACUAUGUUCAGAGCUAGUUUGGUAGUAGAGUUUCUUUUCUUCUGCAGUGAGAUCCUUAUGAAGAAUAACUUUCAGAGGAUAGUAUGGGGUGGUAAACAGAAGUGAGCAACUCGUGGUUCAUUUUAUCUAAUCAUUCUGUCAUUUCAGUAAAUUGGUGCAAAACUUAACAAUUUUCUCUGUAGCACUUUAUGCUCACGCAUUAUCUGAAAAUGUUAGAAUCCAAUUGUUUUUGCUGCCAUAGUCCCUUAUGGUAUAUGAUAUCCUGGUUGUUUUACAAGCCACCAGAGUCAUUUUCUGCUAGUUAGUGCAAAACAGACAAUAUAAAUUGGUAAUGCAAAUGUUUUUCUUUUUGCUCAGAACUAUUGCUUAGGACACAAUAUUAUGUUAGAGUGUCUGACAGAUUAAUAAGUGUUGAUAUGUUUCCCACAUUAGAUGUUGAUUCAACUACUAGAGGGAAAGUAGCAACUGUCCUCUCUGUCCAGGGGUCACUGUACUAGUUGUGUUUUAAACAUCAGUAUUUGUAUGCUCUACUAAGCUAUGUGAUUCUCUUGCGUAUUCAGUACCUAAGAGUUCUAUAUUCAGUAUAUUUUUUAUUUUUUCAGUAUUUUGCCAUCUUUUUAUGGUAUUUUGUAAUGCAGAAAUUCAUUUAUCUUUUUUCAUGAUGAUUUCUUUCUCGCGUCUGAUGUUUUUGCCUAGAAGAUGUUUACUCAAGUUUUGUGUCGACCAGUUAUGGAUGGAUCGCAAACAUCAUGAACCUUGAAUCCUUGAUACUCGCCCAUGCGUACCUUCUAAAACCUAGCAAGAUGUUGCUUUGUAUAAGAUGCUUGAUUUCUACCUUUCCCGUGUCAUUAUCCUUGGUCUUUCUUUCUCUGUUGUCCAGUCUUAAUUGCCAUAUCAUUCAUCAUUUCCUUGUUAUCAUUUAUAGUUCAGUUUGCCCAGCAUCAUCCUUCACUGGGAACUACAAAAGCAACAUCCAACUUCAACCUGGCGGCCUCUUGUCCUUCACCAUUUCUCAGUUAUCAUCUACUCAACAACAUUGUCAUUCAUCAACAAGAACAACAAAGGCUUUUAGUCCCAAACAAGUUGGGGUAGGCUAAAGUUGAAACCCAUAAAGAUAUCGAAACCUAGUCAUGGUUUUGGCACAUGGAUCUCAAAUGCCUUGUCAUUCAUCAUCGGUCCUUUUCUUUUCUCUCUUUUUUGCUUAGUAUAAUUUCUUCAGAAGAUAGUUCCUUACUCUCCCUAGUGUUUCCUCCAUCUUUACGUUUUUUAAGGUCCAAGCAAGCGACUAUGUGUUCGUCUCUUUCUAAGUUAUCUGUACAUUGGCAUUAGGCAAUAGUCUCAGUUUCUCUAUCCCACUCACUUUUCUUUCUCAACAUCCGUGGCUACAUAUAUUUCUUCUGUCAUUUCUUAGCCUUGUUUUUCUCCAUCUCUGUUUAUUGUCUUAUUUAUCUGUACCUUCAAGUGAAAUGAUAACAACUAGACCGCAAGUGCUAACCAAAUAAUUAUUUCAUAUUCAUAUAUUUAUACCAUAGUCAACCAACUAAGUAUAUAACAAUUGGAUUAAAUUUCUUUCUCUGUAUGACAAUACUUCUUUGAACAAUAGUUCUUCAGUCCCUUGGUUAUCUGUCUUAAAUUCUUAAUUAAGCUGGAAGGCUGACUUGAUUAUAAGUUAUCUAGUUAUUUAAAUAGUAUUUUUGAGAGCUAUAGCGAGCAGUUUGUUUUCUAGGACCAUGUCAAGCAGUUCUCAGUCAUAUAAAUAGUAUUUUCAGAGCUACAUUUGAGCAGUUAGGUUUUUAGGACCAUACCAAGCAGAAUUUCUUAUUUCUUUCUUCAGUGUCUGUUAUCUUUAGUUUCCCCUCCCCAGUUUUAAAUAUGUCCCUUUCUUCAAUCUAUAUUCAGUUUCUCAGUUUCUUUCUUCAGAGUUUUCCGUCUCUCUACAUCUUUCACUUCACUAUAGUCUUCAUUUUCUGUCUUCAUUCCCGCUCGUGCAGUUAUUUUGUAGCAUCUUAGGAUUCAUUCUUCAUUCGUCAGUCGUUCUUCUUCAGUUUUUCCCCUUUUGUUCUGUGUUACUUCAUUGUCUGUUGCAUCAUCUAGCUGAGAUGGUAGUGGAGAUAAUUUCUGUUGGCAAACCACUUAGGCGAACUCUCUGUUGCGAUUCUGCAAAUGCUGGCGAUGCGGAAGUGAAAAAGGUUAUGACUUUGAACCCAUGGAACUGUCCAUUCGACAUUGGAAACGCGCAACGUUCUGCAUGUUGUUGAGACCAAACUGCAGUUUUUAUGAAGUUUUUGGUGUUUUUUCUGCCUUAGUUUUCUAACCUUCACCCCUUGUUUGGUCGAUGGUUAAGUGCCGACUCUGCAUUUUUCUUGAAUGGAUGUUGUCUAGUUUACUGCAGGGCGCAUUUGCUGUUUAUGCAGAAUACAUUUAGAAAUAGUUUUCAUUUUUAACAAGGAUUCACUUAAUUGACCAUGGCGGUGGGGGCGUAGCGGGGUGAGCCAAUCCGGCGACGGCGCGUGGGUGGCCGUGCCAGGCUAGAGCCGGCGAAGGCGUGAUGGCUACGGUCGCGUCCGGCGACGAGGAGCGCAGGUGCGCUCGCCGGCGGCGUGAGGACGACGCAGGUGAGCCGAUUCAGCAACGGGGCGUCGCGGCUGAUUGUGGGGAUGGAGGCUGGGGCGGCUCGGCGGGCCUUGGGUCGGUCUGCAGCAGGCCCCUUGGUGCGGUCAAAGCAAUUGCAAGAGGGGCCAAAUUGCAAAUCUCAAAUAUGGCGGUUGUUUCUGCGGCAUCUGAUGAAAACCAGAUCCGACGACUACGUACGAAGGCGGUUGACGCGCGGAGAAAAAUCAGCUGGCUGACUCACGCAUUUAAAAAAAAGAAAAAAGAAAAUAAGGAACGUAAAUAAUAAUCCCGUAAUCUCCUCGCAAUCAUACCGAAUACAUCGCUCCAGACCGUUACGAUUUCGGAUCGUUCUCCUCGCCAUUACAGAUCACCUCGAGUACGUACUACACAUUAUAUUGCAGCCUCCCUCCUCCAUGGCUCCAAGCCAGCAGACCUGCCUAGAAGCCUGCAUCCAUCUGCAAAGCAUGAGGGGCCGCGACCUCACCGGCUCGCUGCCGGACGAGGUCCUGCAGCACGUGCUCUCCUUCCUGCCGUCGCGCGAAGCCGUCCAGACUUCCGUGCUCUCCCGGCGCUGGCGCCACCUCUGGAAAUCCACCCCUUCCGUCCGCGUCAGCGGCCGGGGAGACGGCUUUCGCCUCUUCGUCAACAGCCUGCUGCGCCACCGGAACGACGCCUCGCCGCUGCGCACCUUCGAGAUCGACGACCUCGUGAAAGCCCCCCAGCCGUCCACCAACUUCUUCUUCGACGACGACGUCGUCCCGGAAACCGAUCCCCACCCCGACGUCGACCUGUGGAUCAGGCACGCCUUGUCCACGUGCCGUGCCACCUCGCUCACGGCACUCUUCGACGAAGAGGGCUUGCUGCCAUGGCGUCCCCGUCCCCCUUUCUCCUUCACGUCCAGCCACCUCACGACCAUGCACCUCGAGUUCGUCGAGCUCGCCGACGGCCUCCUCGACUUCUCCCCCUGCCCGGCGCUCCUGCGGCUCAGCCUCAGCGGAUGCCGCCUCGACGGCGACGCCAUCGUCUCGCCCUCGCUGGAGCGCCUCAGCAUAAUCCGCUGCGACAUUCCGAUCGGCCGGAACACGGCCGGUCGGACCGCCACGAUGAGGAUCUCCACGCCGAACCUCCGUCAUCUGGAGAUAUCCGAUAGCUGUGACGGGGAACAGACACCUCCCUCCCUCGACAGCAUGCCUUUGUUGACGACGGCGAGCAUCCGGUUCACGGGCAGCACCCGGAUUUACCCCACCAAUGGUGACGCUUCCUUGCUUCUGCAUGGCUUGUCAGAGGCCACGACCUUGGAGCUUACGGCUUCGACUCCUGAUGGAAAGGUUUGUCAAAUGCGACCUGAUGUUAAGAUUUGAAUUUUUUUUUCAGUUCGCAUGAUCAGGCACAAAUGCACAAUAGUAUUGCACUUUGCACCAGUCCCCACAAAAAGAUGUUCGAAAAAGAAAUCUAAAAAUUAUGAUAGGUUGCAUUUGAAACAGUUGUUUAAUUAGGAGUGUACUUGGUAUAUAUGCUCAACCAAGCAUAGAGCUUAAUGAUGAUUUACUAUAAAUAAGUGGUGCUAAUAUUUCAGAUAAUUUAUUAUUUGUACGUGAUAUUGUUUUUUCUUUCUCUUGCACAUUCCUGAAACUCCUUUCCAUAGAACAGACACAUUCCGGUCUCUAGUUGAGGUUUUUCUACAUGCUAGUCACAAGUUUUUAUUAGCCUUACAUGUGCACUCUAUCCAGGCAAUCCUACAAGGUGACUUGAGAUGGUGCCCUACAUUCACCGAGUUAAAGACUUUGAUACUGAACGAGUGGUGUCUAUAUGACGAUGUAACUGCGCUCGCAUGCCUUCUGCGGCACACACCAGCACUAGAGAGUUUGCAACUUGAUUUCAAGGUACGUACUAACUAUAUAUGUUGAUGUGUUUGAGAUUUUUCUACUUUGCCGUUGCAUAUAAGGUCCAUAUAAGGUUUUAACCUUUAUCUUUUCUUCUCCAGAGCAGCGAUACACUCCAGGAGAAAAUAAAAGGAAGUUGUAUCAUAUUAAAAGAGUUAUUUCCUACGCUUGAAAACCUGAAGGCAGUGAAGAUCAGAAGGCACUGCUCAUAUUCUGACACAAAGAACCACGAAAUUUUGAAGUUGUUCCGUGAUUUGGGCAUACCUCGGUGUAAAGUUAAGUAUGCUCUGAACUUUGAAGGUAAGCUCUAUAUAUACCAAGUUUCUUUGCGUGGUUUUCCAUAAUAAGAUCUAAACGCUCUUAUAUUUCUUUAGGGAGGAGCACAUAAAAGCAAGUGCAUUGAACAAAAUUUAAAAUAUAACUAGCUAUAUAUACAUAUGAAGAGAGUUUGUACAUUUACCAACCGUUUGUAUACAUCAAUAUGUUGUACUGUCCUGUUAAUUAUGUAUUGCAAACUGCUUAAUCACUUAUCUGUUGUGUAUCCUUCUGAUUAUUUGUUCUCUACAACAAUCCAUUUACAGCAGUGGAUGCCGCUAUGGAGGGGAAAAACGCAAGAGGGGGUCAAGAAGACGGUAGGAUGCAUCUCGGCUCAGAUUGCAUAACUGAAGCAGGAAUCGACGCUUCGCGAGGAUCCAAGCGGUGUAGGAUAGAACGUAGUCUGCUAUGAGGUUCUAUCCCUUUGAACCAAAGACUGAACGCGCCUUUGGAAACCACCAUACCCCUAUGCACCGAACUACUGGAAAAAUUCAUGUUUGCCUAGUGUCAGCGUCUUUGCCAAGUGCAUUUCGUCAGGGUGUUUGCCGAGUGUCAUCCAAAAAAUACUCGGCAAAAAAGCAAAACUCGGUAAACAGGUGCUUUGCCAAGUGUCGUGGACAAAACACUUGGCAAAACAGUGGAAUUUUUUCAAAAAGGUGCUUUCUUAAGCGCUACACUCAGCAAAAGGGCAUUUUUCUAGAGUGCUACACUCGGCAAAAAUGGGGUAUUUACCGAGCUGCACUGUUUUGGCUGUCGAGAUUGUGUAUGACAUCGGAUGAAGAUGAUCCAAAAAUCAAAGUUUUUCAUUUUGACGAGACAAACAAAUUUCAUGUUGAGAACUUUUUCAUUUAAGGCCAUAUUAAUUACACUUUUUUGCCAUGCCAAAAUAUGGUCUCAAAUGACUAAGGCGGUGGUAAUAUUUAUUGCAUAGUAUGACAGUGUUUCUAAACUUGGCACUUAUGUGCAUCUGUCAGUUACAAACAAUGUUGCCAAAUCUAUUUUCCAAAUUUUUUGUACAAAAAAUAGUGUUAUAUUUUGUAAUUGUAAAAAUUGGAUAUUUUUGUGAAUCUGGUAAAAAAAAACAGGGUGCAAAAUGGCAGCACUCCAAUUUUCACAAAAAGUAGACCAUAUUUUUGGAAAAUUCCCAACUAUUUUGGGUUUUCUAGAUUUAUAGCUACUUUCGCACAUUUAAAUGACUUUAUGUCGAUUUCUUGAAAGUAAUUCAAAUUUGAACUGCAAGUGUGUGAUAGCUCUGUCCUAAAAAUUAGCAAAAAGUAUUUUUUGAUACACAAGUAGUCAUUAUAUGGAAGAGCACUUCGAGUUUUGAGAGAUUCAACCCCUUGCCAUGAAUAGCCAUGUCGACCAUUUUGACCCUAUUCUGGAAAAAAUGAAAGGAAAGAAUACAAGUUCAAAAUAUGCAAUCCUUUCACAUGGAGUCCUUUUAUGUGUACUAGUUGCAAGGAAAAAUACCAAACUUUCAAUAUGACGAUUUUGAAAAAAGAUCCUUCACAAAAGGGCCAUCAUGUAUGAACAUUCAUGACUUUCAAGUCAAAUGACCAAGGUGAUGGUCAUAUUCAUUGCAUAGUUUGUUAUAAUGUGCCCAAAUUAGACACAUAGGUGCAUCUUGCCGCUAAAAACAAUGUUGCCAAAUAGAGUUUCCAACUUUUUUGUAAAAAAAAACACUAUUCAUUUUCUAAGUGUCCAAAAGGGUAUUUCUUGUGAAGCAAGCACAAAAAAUAGGGUGCAAAAUGGAACCAUUCCUAUUUUCAUAGUAAGUAGACCUUAUUUUAUGCACAAUUCCCAAGUUUCAUGGAUUUUCUAGAUUUCUAGCUACUUUCCCACAUUUAAAUGACUUGAUGGCGAUUUCUCAAAAGUAAUUCAAAUUUGAAUUCGAAGUGUCUGAUAGCUCUGUCCUAAAAAUUAGCAAAAAAAAGGUACACCAAUAGUCAUUAUAUGGAAGAACCACCUAAAAUAUUUAAAGAUUCAACCUCUUGCUGUGAAUAGCCAUGCCAGCCAUUUUGACCCCGUUUUGGAAAAAGAAAAGAAAAAGAAUGCAAGUUAAAAAAACAAUUCUUUCGCAUGGAGUCCUUUUAUCUCUACUAGUACCAAACUUUCAAUAUGAGAAAUUUGAAAAAAUGCCUUCAUAAAACUGGCCAUCGUUGAUGAACAUUCAUGGCUUUCAAGCCAAAUGACCAAGACGAUGACCAUAUUCAUUGCUUAGUUUAUGAUAAUGUGCCGAAAUUUGGUGAAUAUGUGCAUUUGUUAGAGAAAUUAUCCGCCUGCCCAGCCGUCAGAUCAGCGCUCUGGGGCCAUCCGAUGCAACAACUCCACGACUGUAGACCAUCUUCAACGCAACGGGGUGCCAGCUCCUCUGCAGCACGGCGCGGCGCGACCAUAGCUCCAACGCAGCGUCGAUGACAUCCGGUGAAGCUCCAUUGCAGCCCCGGCGAAGCUCGAACACAGCACCAACGUCCGGCGAAGCUCCAUUGCAGUGCCGGCUAUACUUCCGGCGGCCCGGCAUUGCUCCAUUGCAACACCCGCGGCGCUCCCAAUAGCUUCAACGCAACAUCACCGGAGUUUCAACACCUCUGUCGGCCACUCGCCGCGGUCACCGUAGCAGCACCGACGACUUCCAUUGCAACUCCGCGGUGCUCCCAAUAGCUUCAGGGAGAAUCCCUUCGGACGCGAACCUCCCCGCAACACGGGCCACGGCCCGUAGCGCCGACGACGCUGCAUUGGUAUGCUCUACAGCACCGGGCGCUCACCGACAACACCGUCGCGCUUCUCAACACCGGCAGUAGCAAGGCCGCGUCGGGAACUGCAGGUCGACGCGGGGUGCUGCAGCCUGCAGGUCGCAGCCGGGUGCUUGAUGUCGCUUGAAGCUACGUCGGUAUUUCCCCAAAGAGGAAGGGAUGAUGCAGCACAGCGGCGGUAGGUAUUUCCCUCAGAUAUGAAACCAAACUUAUCGAACCAGUAGGAGAACCAAGCAACACAACGUAAACAACCCCUGCACACAGAUAACAAAUCCUCGCAACCCGACGUGUUAAAGGGGUUGUCAAUCCCUUUCGGGGUACGGCGCCUCAAGAUAGGCAAAACGGACGUGAGGAAAAUUUAGUAGAUUGAUAGAUCGAACUCCAAACAAAAUAAAUAAGAAUAAAUUGCAGCAAGGUAUUUUUGUAUUUUUUGGUUUAAUAUAUCUGAAAAUAAACGCAAGGAAAAAGUAGAUCACAAAGGCAAAUACAUGAGAAAGAAGACCUGGGGGCCGUAGGUUUCACUAGUGGCUUCUCUCGAGAAAAAUAGCAAACGGUGGGUAAACAAAUUACUGUUGGGCAAUUGAUAGAACUUCAAAUAAUUAUGACGAUAUCCAGGCAAUGAUCAUUACAUAGGCAUCACGUCCAAGAUUAGUAGACCGACUCCUACCUGCAUCUACUACUAUUACUCCACACAUCGACCGCUAUCCAGCAUGCAUCUAGUGUAUUAAGUUCAUGAAAAAACGGAGUAAUGCAAUAAGAACGAUGACAUGAUGUAGACAAGAUCUGUUUAUCUAUUGCGUAGAUAUAGAUCCCAUCUUUUUAUCCUUAGUAGCAACGAUACAUACGUGUCGUUUCCCUUUCUGUCACUAGGAUCGAGCACCGUAAUAUCGAACCCACUACCGGGCACCUCUUCUAGUUGCAAGAUAAAUAGAUCAAGUUGGCCAAACAAAACCCAAAUAUCGGAGAAGAAAUACGGGGCUAUAAGAGAUCAUGCAUAUAAGAGAUCAAAGAAACUCAAAUAACUUUCAUGGAUAUAAAAAGAUAUAACUGAUCAUAAACUCGAAGUUCAUCGGAUCCCAACAAACACACCGCAAAAAGAGUUACAUCAUAUGGAUCUCCAAGAGACCAUUGUAUUGAGAAUUCAGCGAGAGAGAGGAAGCCAUCUAGCUACUAACUACGGACCCGAAGGUCUACAAAGAACUACUCACGCAUCAUCGGAGAGGCACCAAUGGAAGUGGUGAACCCCUCUGUGAUGGUAUCUAGAUUGGAUCUGGUGGUUCUGGACUCUGCGACGGCUGGAUGAAUAUUUCAUCGACUCCCCUAGGGUUUUUGGAAUAUUGGGGUAUUUAUAGAGCAAAGAGGCGGUCCGGGGGGCACCCGAGGUGGGCACAACCCGCCAGGGCGCGCCUGGGCCUCCUGGCGCGCCCUGGUGGGUUGUCCCCUCCUCAGGACUCCCCCCAGGUGCAACCAGGUCCCAACAUCUUCCUUCUGGUCCAAAAAAAAAUCUCUGUAAAGUUUCGUGGCAUUUGGACUCCGUUUGAUAUUGAUUUCCUGCGAUGUAAAAAACAUGGAAAAAACAACAACUGGCACUUGGCACUAUGUCAAUAGGUUAGUACCAAAAAAUGAUAUAAAAUGACUAUAAAACAUCCAAGAUUGAUAAUAAAACAUCAUGGAACAAUAAAAAAUUAUAGAUACGUUGGAGACGUAUCAGCAUACCCAAGCUUAACUCCUGCUCGUCCUCGAGUAGGUAAGUGAUAAAAACAGAAUUUUUGAUGUGGAGUGUUGUUUAUCAUGUCAUAUCAUAUUCUUUUCUUUAUAGCAUGGACAUUUGAACUUUUAUGUGAUUCAAAGCAAUAGUCUAGUUUUGUCACAAUAAUUUAGAUACUCAAGCAUAUCAACAAGCAACCAUGUCCUUCAAAAUAUCAAUGCUAAAACAAGUUAUCCCUAGCCCAUCAUGCUCAAACAUUGAUCCAUUCAUGAAACACACUCGCAUAUUAGCUAUACCCAAUACUUAAGCAUGAUCAUAUUGCCACUUAGUUGGUGCUUUUAUAAGAGAAGAUGGAGACUCAAAUUCAAAAUAAAAAUUGCAUAAAGUAAAAAAAGGCCCUUCGCAGAGGGAAGUAGGGAUUUGUAGAGGUGCCAGAGCUCAAAGCGAAAAAUAGAGAUACAAACAUUUUGGGAGGUGUAUCCAUCCCACCAACGAAAACGACUCAGAGUUCUGAACACUUUCCAUGCUAGAUAUGCCAUAGGCGGUUCCCAAACAGAAAAUAAAGUUUAUUCCUUUUUCCAGCAUUCUUUCACUUUCAAUGGCUAGCCGUAUCCACGGUUGCCUUCCAUACCAACACUUUCCAAGGAAUUUAUUAUUUGACAACAUAAAGUAAAUUCAUUUUUUCAUUUCAGGACUGGGCAUCCCUAAAAUCUUUGCCUUACCCUCGUGCAAUGACAAGUGAAUAAACACUCAUCGUGAGAAUAACACAUCCAGCAUGGAAAAUAUUAGCCACCCGUUACCGUUCCGCGAGCGAAACAAACACACAAAAGAGAAGUUUAUUUUGAAAAUUAGAGAUGGCACAUGCAAAUUUGCUUAGAACGUCAAAAGAAUACCGCAUAUAGGUAGAUAUAGUGGACUCAUGUGGCAAAACUGGUUUAAAGGAUUUUGGAUGCACAAGUAGAGGUCAUACUUAGUGCAAAAUGAAGGCUACCAAAAAGAUUGAGAAGCGACCAACCAAGAAACGAAUAAUCUCAUAAGCAAGCAUUAAGCAUAAUUAACACCGAAUAAUUCACCAUAAGUAGGAUAUAAUUUUAUUGCAUGAUUAUUGACUUUCAUGCAUGCAUAGGGAAUCACAAACCUUAACACCAAUAUUCUUACUAGAGCACAAUUACUCAUCAACAUAGCUCACAUAUCACAUCAUCAUAUCUCAAAACUAUUACUAAGAAUCAAGUUUAUUUUGUCCAAUGAUCUUCAUGACAUUUUUUCUUUACUUUAUCCUUCUUGGAUAUCUAUCACUUUGGGACUAAUUUUCAUGUGUUGCCUUUCAUAAGCUCAAACAAAUAUAUGUGAAGAUCAUGAGCAUAACAAAUUUUCGUUCUCUCAAAAUAAUUUAAGUGAAGCAAGAGAGAAUUUCUUCAAAAUUUUACUAACUCUCAAAUAAAUCUAAGUGAAGCAAGAGAGCAUUUCUUCAACAAUACUAAGCACACCGUGCUCAAAAAGAUAUAAGUGAAGCACUAGAGCAAUCCUACCUCAUAAAAGAUUUAAGUGAAGCACAGAGAGCAAUUCUAACAAGUCAUGAUAUAAUUUUGGCUCUCUCAAAUAGGUGUGUCCAGCAAGGAUUGAUGACUUAAAACACAAAAUAAAACAAGCAAAGACACAUAUCAUACAAGACGCUCCAAGCAAAACACAUAUCAUGUGACGAAUAAAAAUAUAGUCUCGAGUAAAAUACCGAUGGUCGUUAGAAGAAAGAGGGGAUGCCACUCGGGGGCAUCCCCAAACUUAGUUGGUUGCUCAUUCUUGGAUAAUAGCUUGGGAUGCCGGGGCAUCCCCAAGCUUAGGCUCUUCUAUCCUUCUUUCAUCCAUCGUAAGAUAACCCAAAACUUGAAAACUUCAAUCACACAAAACUCAACAAAACCUUGUGAGAUCCGUUAGUAAAAGAAAGCAAACCACUACUAAAGUGUUGUAUCAAACCAAUUCAUAUUUUGUUUUUGUAUUAUAUCUACUGUAUUUCAACUUUUCUAUGGCAAAAAAUCAUCAAAGAAAACCAUAGAGUCAUCAAAAUAAGCACACAACACAAAGAAAAGCGAAUCUGUCAAAACAGAACAGUCUGUAGUAAUCUGGAACUUUCGAAUACUUCUGUAACACCAAAUUUUAAAAAAAAUUAGGACGACCAGACCUCUAAGUAGUGCCUCAUCAGGUAGAUGAACAACCAAAUGCACCAUCACAUCAAAGAAGGCUGGAGGAUAUAUCUUCUCAAGGUCGCAUAGGAUAGUUGGUAUCUUGUCUCUAAGACGCUCCAAAGCAUCUAUCCUGAUAUUUCUACUACAGAGUUCCCUGAAGAAUUGUCCCAACUCUGCAACUGCUCUGUAUAAGUCAGGGCGGCCCAAUCCUCUAAGGAUAACAGGUAAAACCCUUUGAAGUAGGACGUGGCAGUCAUGAGUUUUCAACCCUUGUACCUUGUCUCCAUCUGCACUGACUCUCCUUUCAGGGUUGGAAGCAAAUCCAUGUGGGAAUCUCACACGUGACAGGACCUUGCAGAAUUCUUUUCUUUUUACCUUGUCCAAGACGUACACAGCUGGUGCCAUAUCCCGUGGUUUACCUUCAUCUUGCACCUGCAAAUCCUAUCUGAUACCCAGGUGUGUCAAAUCAAUCCUAGAUUUUAAGGUAUCUUUUGUCUUGCCUUCAAUAUUAAGAAGUGUGCCGAUAAUGCUGUCACAUAUAUUUUUCUCGAUGUGCAUCACAUCAAGAUUAUGCCGCAGAUCCAAAUCUUUCCAAUACUCCAAGUCCCACAAAGUGGACCUGCGGGUAAAUGAUACGCCUCCAUCGUAUCUAUAAUUUUUGAUUGUUCCAUGCCAAUAUUCUACAACUUCCAUAUAUUUUUGGCAACUUUUUAUACUAUUUUUGGGACUAACAUAUUGAUCCAGUGCCCAGUGCCAGUUCCUGUUUGUUGCAUGUUUUAUGUUUCGCAGAAACCCCAUAUCAAACGUAGUCCAAACGGGAUAAAAACGGACGGAGAAUUAUUUUG